rnacentral:rRNA from 1 species
GACGAACGCUGGCGGCGUGCUUAACACAUGCAAGUCGAACGGAAAGUCCCUGCUUUUGUGGGGUGCUCGAGUGGCGAACGGGUGAGUAACACGUGAGUAACCUGCCCUUGACUUUGGGAUAACUUCAGGAAACUGGGGCUAAUACCGGGUAGGAGCUCCUGCUGCAUGGUGGGGGUUGGAAAGUUUCGGCGGUUGGGGAUGGACUCGCGGCUUAUCAGCUUGUUGGUGGGGUAGUGGCUUACCAAGGCUUUGACGGGUAGCCGGCCUGAGAGGGUGACCGGCCACAUUGGGACUGAGAUACGGCCCAGACUCCUACGGGAGGCAGCAGUGGGGAAUAUUGCACAAUGGGCGGAAGCCUGAUGCAGCAAAGCCGCGUGCGGGAUGACGGCCUUCGGGUUGUAAACCGCUUUCGCCUGUGACGAAGCGUGAGUGACGGUAAUGGGUAAAGAAGCACCGGCUAACUACGUG